rnacentral:rRNA from 1 species
AUGAACGCUGGCGGCGUGCCUAAUACAUGCCAGUCGAGCGAACAGACGAGGAGCUUGCUCCUCUGACGUUAGCGGCGGACGGGUGAGUAACACGUGGAUAACCUACCUAUAAGACUGGGAUAACUUCGGGAAACCGGAGCUAAUACCGGAUAAUAUAUUGAACCGCAUGGUUCAAUAGUGAAAGACGGUUUUGCUGUCACUUAUAGAUGGAUCCGCGCCGCAUUAGCUAGUUGGUAAGGUAACGGCUUACCAAGGCGACGAUGCGUAGCCGACCUGAGAGGGGGAUCGGCCACACUGGAACUGAGACACGGUCCAGACUCCUACGGGAGGCAGCAGUAGGGAAUCUUCCGCAAUGGGCGAAAGCCUGACGGAGCAACGCCGCGUGAGUGAUGAAGGUCUUCGGAUCGUAAAACUCUGUUAUUAGGGAAGAACAAAUGUGUAAGUAACUAUGCACGUCUUGACGGUACCUAAUCAGAAAGCCACGGCUAACUACGU